rnacentral:rRNA from 1 species
AGCUUGCUCUUCUUGGAUGAGUUGCGAACGGGUGAGUAACGCGUAGGUAACCUGCCUUGUAGCGGGGGAUAACUAUUGGAAACGAUAGCUAAUACCGCAUAACAAUGGAUGACACAUGUCAUUUAUUUGAAAGGGGCAAUUGCUCCACUACAAGAUGGACCUGCGUUGUAUUAGCUAGUAGGUGAGGUAAUGGCUCACCUAGGCGACGAUACAUAGCCGACCUGAGAGGGUGAUCGGCCACACUGGGACUGAGACACGGCCCAGACUCCUACGGGAGGCAGCAGUAGGGAAUCUUCGGCAAUGGGGGCAACCCUGACCGAGCAACGCCGCGUGAGUGAAGAAGGUUUUCGGAUCGUAAAGCUCUGUUGUAAGUCAAGAACGGGUGUGAGAGUGGAAAGUUCACACUGUGACGGUAGCUUACCAGAAAGGGACGGCUAACUACGUGCCAGCAGCCGCGGUAAUACGUAGGUCCCGAGCGUUGUCCGGAUUUAUUGGGCGUAAAGCGAGCGCAGGCGGUUUGAUAAGUCUGAAGUUAAAGGCUGUGGCUCAACCAUAGUUCGCUUUGGAAACUGUCAAACUUGAGUGCAGAAGGGGAGAGUGGAAUUCCAUGUGUAGCGGUGAAAUGCGUAGAUAUAUGGAGGAACACCGGUGGCGAAAGCGGCUCUCUGGUCUGUAACUGACGCUGAGGCUCGAAAGCGUGGGGAGCGAACAGGAUUAGAUACCCUGGUAGUCCACGCCGUAAACGAUGAGUGCU